rnacentral:tRNA from 1 species
GCCUGGGUGGCUCAGUCGGUUGAGCGUCUGACUUCGGCUCAGGUCAUGGUCUCACAGUCUGUGGGUUCGAGCCCCGCGUCAGGCU